rnacentral:miRNA from 1 species
UGUGUGUGUGUGUGUGUGUGUGUGUGUGUAUGUGUUUUAUUAUACAUGCAUACACACCCACCCACCCACACACUCACAAA